UGCAUUUUUAACAGCCUGAAA
rnacentral:piRNA from 1 species